AUUGAACGCUGGCGGCAUGCUUUACACAUGCAAGUCGAACGGUAACAGGGAGCUUGCUCCGCUGACGAGUGGCGAACGGGUGAGUAAUGCGUCGGAACGUGCCGAGUAGUGGGGGAUAACGCAUCGAAAGGUGUGCUAAUACCGCAUACGUACUGAGGUAGAAAGUGGGGAACCUUCGGGCCUCACGCUAUUCGAGCGGCCGACGUCUGAUUAGCUAGUUGGUGAGGUAAAGGCUCACCAAGGCGACGAUCAGUAGCGGGUCUGAGAGGAUGAUCCGCCACACUUGGAAUGGGACAGGGCCCAGACUCCUACGGGAGGCAGCAGUGGGGAAUUUUGGACAAUGGGCGCAAGCCUGAUCCAGCCAAGCCGCGUGUCUGAAGAAGGCCUUCGGGUUGUAAAGGACUUUUGUCCGGGAGCAAAUGCCUGGUGUUAAUAGCAUCGGGAGCUGAGAGUACCGGAAGAAUAAGCACCGGCUAACUACGUGCCAGCCGCCGCCGUAAAAC
rnacentral:rRNA from 1 species